UUGGUUAUGCUAAUAAGAGCGUAUGGUGGAUGCCUUGGCACUAAGAGCCGAUGAAAGACGUGAUAAGCUGCGAAAAGCUUCGGGGAGGAGCAAAUAUCCAUUGAUCCGGAGAUUUCUGAAUGGGGAAACCUACUUGAGAAGACCUCAAGUAUCCACAGCCCAAUCCAUA
rnacentral:rRNA from 1 species